GGGUUAGGCAUGUCUGAGCUCAGACUCUCCUUGGGUGGGGCUUGCCGUGGCUGCUGUGGGGGAUGGGAUGUUGUUUCCAGUCCAGUUGAAUUAUGUUCCUGGGAAAUUAUGGCUACCUCUGCUGUGUCACAUAGGUUGCCAAGGAAGUGGGAGAAAGCCAGCAGCCACAAGCCUCACCCAGCUCCCAUGGAGCCUGCAGCCUGCAGCUUGAAAGGCCAGCCUCAUUCCCACUGUGCCCCCACAACAGCACCGAAGCACCGAGUUUAUUUCCAGGCAGGCAGUGAGCAGGGCUGAGAAAUUGCCCCAGGCUACAAGCCUCCCAGCUGAGAAAGCAAGCAGACUCACAGUUCCUUGGCUGUCCCAUGCAGCCUGCAGCAGCAAUCCACCCCCUUUAAAGUGUCUGUGGAUUCUUUCAGCUUUUUUGGUUCAAGCAAUUCUCCUGUCUCAGCCUCCCGAGUAGCUGGGAUUACAGUCAUGUGCCCCUGUGUCCAGAAUUGGUUCCUUCUGGUGGGUUCUUGGUCUUGCUGUCUUCAAGAAUGAAGCCGUGGACCCUCGUCAUGAAUGUUACAGUUCUUAAAGAUGAAGAGAACAGCAUCAGGGCACAUUGAGGCUCAGAAAUUUAUAUUCCAAGAAGAGGUGCACAGGAACAGAGCAGAUCCAAAGCAGACAACCACCUGGAAGCAGUCAUAACAACAGCAAUAGCAAAUCAAUGCUGAUAAAAGAAAUCAAGUACAGAGAGUUUUAAGGACAUUGUCCAAAGUUGUACAAGACUCCAACACUAAGCAUUCACCUGGAGAUAACCUACAGAGAUACUCUGUGUUACCCACAACUAGUCUGUUGACUAAGUUGGUGAAUAUAUUUGGGAAAAGCCCAUGUGGAAGAAUGGAAGCCUGCAUUAUCUUUCUCAGAGACAGACAGGAAGGUGACUCUAUGGAAGACAUCAGCGAUAAACUAGGAAGGAGUGACACGAUACAUUUGUUCACAUUACAGCAGAUGGCCUCAGACUCGAACUGGAAUAUCAGCAUCAGCUCUCCUGAGUCUCUAGCCUGCCAUCCUACAUCCUGCAGAUUCCAGACUUGCUGGCCUCCAUAGUAAUGUGUCAACAAUUUUGGCAUUGCAGAAGACCAUGGAGACAACUUUUUUAUUUCUCCAUCACACAAGGACUGAAGAUACAAAAAUGAGUUUUUCUUUCCUAUGGCCUUGGACUAGCUAUAUACGAUAGUAAUUAGCAAGCAGGCUCUGAAUUACACGAGCCCCUCCCACUGACUCUUGUACUUUUUAGCUAUAAGAACCUAAGCACGAACUUCGCAGAGCUCCAGUGCUUCUGUUUUGAAAAGAGAUAAUAUUUCCUAUGGGAUAGGGUUGUCUGGGGGUACUAAAUGAGAACUACAUACAAAGUACUUAAUGGAAGGUAUGUAGGACUCAAUAGAGGUAGCUAUUAAAUUGUAUGUAAGUAACAAAUCCUGAUAAUGUUCAAUUCUGAAUAAAACUUAGCAAGGUAGUUUUAUUGUCUUUAUUAUUUUUUAUUGAUUAGAAAACUGAUCCUAAAAUAAGUUAAUUAAUUUUGCCAUAGAAAUACCCAUUUAUUGUACAAAUUGGUGAUUUUCGAACCCAGAUCUAUUUUCCACUGUCUUGCAGCAAUGCUGUGCAGAGCUGGGCCUGCCUCAUGCCCUUGGCAUAGCUGUGAGUUACUGUGUAAGCUGUGUUCACCUGCUAAAGAGUUCAUCUUCCAGAAAAAUCAGAGAGAUAUUACGGGCAAAAGCCCAGAAUUCCUUAAGAGUAUAGGAAGAUGCACAAUGAACACUCCCACCCACUAAGAAGGAAGAACAAUUAAAGGCUGAACUAUGGUGAUGCCAUAUUUUUACAUCCGAAGGCACUGCACCACAGGCCCACAAUGAACAUUUAGCUCUCUUAAGUCUCCACAUUCUUUAUUCUGUUUUUGGAAAAGCUUCCUGUUUCUAAUUUGACAAGCCAUCUGCCUUGUUAGCUUUGCUUCCUUUAUCAUUUUUUUUUUACCUUUGAAAAUAAACUCUAGAAGCAGCCCCACGUAAGGCAAAGAAAAAUAAUGAAGAAAAACAUGUGCCAAGGGCUUCACUGACACAACGUUCAUCCCUAGUGUUUUUAAUUUGUCGAUUUGUUUUGCUUGAUUGGAGGUCCACUGAAUAGGAACAUAAUUUCUAUGCUACUGCCUGUAUGCCAAUACAAUCAUUCACUAUUUCUUAAUAUAAAAUUGCAAGAUGGCUUACUUUUAGAAAUACAGCGGGAAAUGUAAUUAAGUAUUGAAAACAGUUUCUCUUUUCCAGUCAAAAGUGUCUGAAUAACUUCUACUUAUAUACUACUCUGUAAUUGCCAAAGCACUUUUAUAUGUAUCGUUAGAUUUAAUCCUCCUAUUUACCUUCUCUGGGAUUAAAUUAGCUUGUAGUUGAGGAUGGGGUGGGGUAGAUUUUGUGAAAGUUCUACAGAUUCUGCUGUGUGUUCUCUUCUUCUUGUUUAAAUAUUGGAAUUUUAGGAAUCUGCACAGGUCUCUUAAUUUAUCACAUAGGCCUCAGGUAAAAAAACUGGUUUAGGCACAGGGUAAAAACAGACUUAACCUGUCCCUUCCAGGUAAACAUUUGUAUUUUAAGUGCAUUUAAUUAUCUCUGAAAUUCCACAUUUGACCUUUUCACCUUCCCCAAAAACUUCUUGGGAAAGAAACCAUUGGUUUGUACUCCUUGAGAAGCCUCAUACAAGUUGCUUAAUAUUUAAAGGUUAAAAAAUAAUUACUUGGGCUCAAAAUUAACAGGUUUUUGCUUGUAUUCCCUGUGAUGUAUGAGCAGAUUACUUUAUUAGAAAAUCAUUAGAGCAUAAUUUGCUUCUACUUGUUGCUGACAUCAAUUUUUAUUUCUUGUAAUUAAAAUACAGGUUCUUAUAAUAUGUCAUUAUUGUAAAUAGCAUGCUGCCAGAUAUUGAUGUGAAAUUGUCAUUAACCCUAACACCUAUGCCUUUUUUUAAAAGUGUGUGAGUUUACCAAGGUUAUGCCACAUUUAGACCCCUUCACCCUACUUAUACACAAAGUGCUCUUUCUACAGACAGCCUGGGAUGGGUCUCACAAUGAAUUUCCAUAAAUAUUUCCUUUUGUGUUGUCUUGCUUUUAUUCUCAAAAGCCAUGAAAACCCAACUGAAUUUGUCUGGAUCAUUGUGAAUGAGUUUCUUACUGAUGUAGGAA
rnacentral:lncRNA from 1 species